rnacentral:lncRNA from 13 species
GUGGCUCUUUUUAAUGAAUGCAGUCAGGAGCCUGGUGACGACUUCAUUUCCGCUAUCCGAGGAGGGGCGCAGCUGUUACAAGUCAGCGGGCUGGUCACACUGGAUUUGCUGAUUAUGUUCUCACGGGUCCUGGACUCGUGGAAAGAAUGAGUUUCUCAUCAGGAGCUGUUCUCUCCGCGUGAUGCCUGCUUCCCUGUGAGGAGAGGCCUGUGCGGCUCCCAGGGAGAUGGGCCGGAGCCGUGGGGCUGGUGAGUGUUCAUUUGCUGCACAGCAUGUGACAGCAGGAAGACGCUUUCAGAACCUCGGCCACAAGAACGGACAGGAGGACUCUGAGUCUCCAUCACUUCAAUCCAGUAGGUGCCAACUCAAUUUUCAAAGAACAAAGUCACACAAUAAUUACAUUUUCCGUUGUAAAUUGGCUUGUGGAAGAUUAAACCUUGACGGACACCAUGAAAUUAAUAAACAAUGGUCCAUGAAAAGCAGGAGAAUUUUUUCUGAUUUUUAUCAACCCCAUCAUGCCUCCCUGGGCAGCAGGGUGUGAGCGAGGUGCCUCCCCAGUCCUGCAAACGUCUGACACUACCG